ACAUGGCUCAGGAUGAACGCUAGCUACAGGCUUAACACAUGCAAGUCGAGGGGCAGCAUGGUCUUAGCUUGCUAAGGCCGAUGGCGACCGGCGCACGGGUGAGUAACACGUAUCCAACCUGCCGUCUACUCUUGGACAGCCUUCUGAAAGGAAGAUUAAUACAAGAUGGCAUCAUGAGUCCGCAUGUUCACAUGAUUAAAGGUAUUCCGGUUAGACGAUGGGGUAG
rnacentral:rRNA from 1 species